AGAGUUUGAUUCUGGCUCAGCGCGAACGCUGGCGGCACGCCUAACACAUGCAAGUCGUGCGGAGGGGUGAUGAGCCCCUCAGCGGCAAACGGGUGAGUAACACGUGGGUAACCUACCCCCAGGAAGGGGAUAACCUCGGGAAACCGAGGCUAAUACCCUAUAAAGCCAGCCAUCACAAAGAUGGUUGGUGAAAGGGGGCCUAUGCUUGCAAGCUCCCGCCUGGGGAUGGGCCCGCGGCCCAUCAGGUAGUUGGUGGGGUAAUGGCCCACCAAGCCUAUGACGGGUAGCCGGCCUGAGAGGGUGGCCGGCCACAGCGGGACUGAGACACGGCCCGCACCCCUACGGGGGGCAGCAGUGGGGAAUCGUGGGCAAUGGGCGAAAGCCUGACCCCGCGAUGCCGCGUGCGGGAAGAAGCCCUUCGGGGUGUAAACCGCUGUUGGGAGAGACGAAGGGGCUGUGGGUUAAUAGCUCACGGCCUUGACGGUAUCUCCAGAGGAAGGGACGGCUAACUACGUGCCAGCAGCCGCGGUAAUACGUAGGUCCCGAGCGUUGCGCGGAGUCACUGGGCGUAAAGCGUCCGCAGCCGGUUAGGUAAGCGGGAUGUCAAAGCCCGCCGCUUAACGGCGGAACGGCAUCCUGAACUGCCUGACUUGAGGCACGCCCAGGCAGGCGGAAUUCCCGGGGUAGCGGUGAAAUGCAUAGAUCUCGGGAGGAACACCGAAGGGGAAGCCAGCCUGCUGGGGCUUGUCCUGACGGUCAGGGACGAAAGCCAGGGGAGCGAACCGGAUUAGAUACCCGGGUAGUCCUGGCUGUAAACCAUGGGCGCUAGGGCUUGUCCCUUUGGGGCAGGCUCGCAGCUAACGCGUUAAGCGCCCCGCCUGGGGAGUACGGGCGCAAGCCUGAACUCAAGGAAUUGGCGGGGGCCCGCACAACCGGUGGAGCGUCUGGGUUUAAUUCGAUGCUAACCGAAGAACCUUACCCGGUUGACAUGCCCAGGUCACCUCUGCGAAGUGGAGGGCUUCGUUCCUCUGUAUGAACCCUGCCACAGGUGUUGCAUGCCCGUCGUCCAGUUCCUGU
rnacentral:rRNA from 1 species